GAGCCGAGAACAUAAACCGUGCCUUCGUU
rnacentral:sRNA from 1 species